rnacentral:rRNA from 1 species
UGNNNUCGAGCGAGAAAGUUCCUUCGGGAAUGAGUAGAGCGGCGGACGGGUGAGUAAUGCGUGAGUAUCUGCCUUUUAGUGAAGAAUACCCUUUGGAAACGAAGGUUAAUGCUGCAUACGUCUCGAAAGAGAGAAAGAUGGCCUUGUUGCUGUCGCUAAAAGAUGAGCUUGCGUUCUAUUAGUUUGUUGGUGGGGUAAAGGCCUACCAAGACGAUGAUGGAUAGCCGGCCUGAGAGGGUGAACGGCCACACUGGAACUUAGACACGGUCCAGACUCCUACGGGAGGCAGCAGUGAGGAAUAUUGCACAAUGGGCGAAAGCCUGAUGCAGCGACGUCGCGUGGAGGAUGAAGGUUUUCGGAUCGUAAACUCCUGUUAAGUGGGAAGAAAGACUUGUUCUUAAUAGGAACAAGGGAUGACGGUACCGCUAGAGAAAGCACCGGCUAACUUCGUGCCAGCAGCCGCGGUAAUACGAGGGGUGCAAACGUUAUUCGGAAUCACUGGGCGUAAAGGGUGUGUAGACGGCACAGCAAGUCAAUUAUAAAAUCUCCUGGUUCAACCGGGAGCCUGUAGUUGAAACUGCUGUACUAGAGGAUGGAAGAGAGAAGUGGAAUUCUCGGAGUAGCGGUAAAAUGCGUAGAUCUCGAGAGGAACACCGAUGGCGAANGCAGCUUCUUGGUCCAUAUCUGACGUUGAUACACGAAAGCGUGGGGAGCAAACAGGAUUAGAUACCCUGGUAGUCCACGCCGUAAACGAUGAUCACUAGAUGUUANNCUCGUCUUANAGUUUAGUGUCGCANCUAACGCGAUAAGUGAUCCGNCUGGGNAGUANGNUCGCAAGAUUAAAACUUAAAGNANNUGACGGGGGNCCGCACNAGCGGUGGAACNUGUGNUUUNANUUCGAUACUAC